AUGAUCGAAACGAUGGAUACCCAGCGGUGCCUGCAGGCAGUGGAGAGGCUACAGUCUCGCUUGAAGGAGAAGGGAGCAGAUGUUCCUGCGGAGGAGAAGCUGAAUCUCCUGAAAGCCGUCCUGCAGAGUCCUCUGUUCCUCCAGAUCCUCAGCCUGCAGAAAUCAGUGCAGCAUCUCAAGGAGCACGUAAGAAAACCCAACAAUACACUGCUUUCAUUUUGCGGCAGAGGAAUUUACAUUUGUCGCUCUCUCUUCUCCGAUCUGAAGAGCAGCAAUGAAGGGUUCUCAGCUCAGCUCAAUGGACAGCCUUCACCUGAAGAGUACAAUCACAUCAUCCGCUCCAUGGCCCAGGGUCGGUACGUGACUCAAAUUGACCUACUGAAACCGGUAUCAGGCGGUUUGGGCUUCAGUGUUGUUGGACUGUGCAGUGAAAAUCGCGGAGAACUUGGCAUCUUCAUUCAGGAGAUUCAGCCUGGAAGUGUGGCAUACAGUGAUGGGAAACUGAAGGAGGGCGAUCAGAUACUGGCGAUUAAUGGUCAUCCACUGGAUCAGAGCGUCAGUCACCAGCAGGCCAUCGCUCUCCUCCAGCGGGCAUCGGAGAGGGUCACCCUGAGCGUGGCCCGCGGGCCAGUACCGCAGCUCUCCAGCCCCGUGGUGUCCAGAACACCCAGCGCCGCCAGCACACUGUCUGCACACUCCAGCGCGACCCACUGGACUCAUGUGGAGACCAUUGAGCUGGUCAAUGAUGGAACCGGACUGGGUUUUGGGAUUGUUGGUGGUAAAACCACUGGAGUUAUUGUGAAAACCAUCCUACCUGGAGGCAUCGCUGAUCAGGAUGGGCGUUUGCGAAGCGGCGAUCACGUCCUGCGCAUUGGGGAUACGGAUCUGUUGGGUCUGAGCAGUGAACAGGUCGCUCACGUCCUCAAACAAUGUGGAAACAGAGUCCGAUUGCUGAUCAGCCGCGGGAUGGCAGACGACGUUUCGGCCGCUCCUGUUUCCCUGCCCACCGUCAAUGAGCAACAGGUACAGAUAUCCCUGUCAGAACAAACCACUCAGGACGCUUUCGAUGUGAGCUUGACGAAGAAUGCUCAGGGUUUGGGCAUCACCAUUGCUGGAUAUGUAGGAGACAAAACCUCAGAGCCCUCUGGGAUAUUCGUGAAGAGCAUUUCGAGGGACAGCGCCGUGGAGCAGGACGGACGGGUUCAUGUUGGAGAUCAGAUCAUAGCUGUGGACGGUGUGAACAUCCAGGGUUACACUAACCAGCAGGCUGUGGAGGUUUUGAGACACACUGGUCAAACUGUAAACCUGCAACUGGUGCGCCGCGGCUUUAAGCCAGAGGACGCCUGUCCGUCAAUCAUUCCUGUCGCUGUGGAGACAGAUCCCGCCCACAGCUCAUCCAGAAACUCGACAAUGGAGCGUCCUGUGAAGCUGAGCGCUCAGGAGGAACUCGCACUUCAGCAGAGAUGGCAGAAUCAGCUCGGCGUCUGCUCUCAAGUCAUCGUGGCUCAGGUGGAGAAGUUCAGUGAGAGCAGUGGUUUAGGGAUCAGUCUGGACGUUUGUGCCGGACAUCAUUACCUGCGCUCCGUGCUUCCAGAGGGACCCGUCGGCCGAUCCGGAAAAAUCUGCAGUGGAGACGAACUGCUGGAGGUGAAUGGUGUUCCCCUCAGAGGAGAGACUCAUAAAGAGGUUGUUGACAUUCUGAAAGAACUUCCUGUUUGUGUGACCAUGGUCUGCUGUAGACCCGCCUCUCUGGUGACUGACAGCCAGACUGACCAACCACAGCUCGAGGACACGCCCUCAAAUGCCAUACCUCAGGUAUUGAACAUUCUCACAGACGGUUUGAAGGGUCAUGUGACUGAAGAGCCCAGCGGGACGCCGUUAGCCAUGUGGGAGACAGAGAUCCAGGACAUCCAGCUGGAGAAAGGAGAGAGCGGCCUGGGAUUCAGCAUUCUGGAUUAUCAGGACCCGCUGGACCCUCUAAAGACAGUGAUAGUGAUCCGCUCAUUGGUUCCGGAUGGCGUGGCAGAGCGGGACGGUCGUCUGCUACCCGGAGACCGUCUGAUGUUCGUCAACAGCAUCGACCUGCAGAGCGGCAGUCUGGAGGAGGCAGUGCAGGCACUGAAGGGGGCACCCAUGGGCAGCGUCCGCAUCGGAGUGGCCAAACCCCUGCCUGUGAGAAACACCACACUUUUAGUACUGCUGCUGCUGCUGUCUAUCGACUCCAGUGAUUUAGAUCUGUCUGAUGAGAAAGCGUUUGAGCGCCACUUUCUGGAGGAGGAAGAGGAAAAUCAGCAGUCGAUGAUCGCUGAACACGGCAGUUUCUGCAGCGCUGAUCUGACCUAUCAGACAAACAGACACACCUCCACACUGCAGUGGUGUUUUUUAGGAAUGACGGUGUGCGCGCUGAAGGACGGUCCAGGGAUGUUGAUCCGCAGCAUCAUUCACGGCGGCUCCAUCAGUCGGGACGGCCGGCUGCGGGUCGGGGAUCUGAUUCUAGCCAUUAAUGGAGAGCUGACGGGGAAUCUGACCAAUGCACAGGCCAGAGCCAUGCUGCGCAGACACUCUCUGAUCGCAUCGGACAUGGGGAUCACGUAUGUUCCUGCAGAAUAUUUAGAGGAAUACCGAGCAAGCCACUUAAAUGCUUCUGCACUCACUCUGAGCUAUCUUCCAGAGAGAGAGGAUGGAGAAGGACAGGAGAGCGAACGACAAGCCAACAACUGGAAUCUGCCUCGCAGAGUUGAGCUGCUCAAGGAAGCUGGGAAAUCUCUGGGCAUCAGUAUUGUUGGUGGGCGGGGCAUGGGCUGUCGCCUUAGCAACGGGGAAGUGAUGCGGGGCAUCUUCAUUAAACACAUCUUGGAGGACAGUCCUGCAGGACGCAACGGCACUCUAAAGACUGGAGACAGGAUUGUAGAGGUGGGAGGAGUGGACCUGCGUGAUGCCAGUCAUGAGCAGGCGGUGGAGGCCAUCCGUAACGCUGCAAACCCGGUGGUGUUCCUGGUCCAGAGCAUCAUUCAGAAAGACAGAUGUAAAGUCUCGGCUCUGUCUCUACCGGUGGUUCCUCAUGUUGGAGAAACAGACUCGGACACGCUGACGGAGAUUCCUGACCGACUGGACCUUCAUCACAACGCUCCUGAUGAGGAAGAGGAGGAUGAGUACGGAUACAGCUGGAAGAAGGUCAGCGAGCGCUAUGGUCGUCUGCCGGGUGAGCUCCACAUCCUCCAGCUCGAGAAAGGUCGUGCGGGUUUGGGUUUGAGUCUGGCUGGCAACCGCGAUCGUUCUCGAAUGAGUGUGUUUGUGGUCGGCAUUGAUCCCAGCGGUGCGGCCGGACAAGAUGGACACAUCCUGGUGGGAGAUGAGCUGCUGGAGAUUAACGGUCAGGUUCUGUACGGUCGCAGUCAUCAGAACGCCUCCGCCAUCAUUAAAAGCGCCCCUUCAAAGGUCAAGAUCAUCUUCAUCCGGAAUGGAGAUGCUCUGAGUCAGAUGGCUGUCGGCCCAAUGAAAGACACAGACUCGCCUGACACACACAUAGAGGUGAACACACUUCACUUCUCUAUACACUCUUCUGAGGAUGGAGGAGUCGGGAUGGAGGAGGACAGCAGGAGCGGAUGCAGCAUACACAGUGUCGAGGAGAACGGAGCCGCUGGAUGGGUAAGAGUUAUCAAGUGUGCACAUUUACAGAUGUGUGAGAGUUUUAGAAAAUAUGUAUGCUUUUACUUCUGCCAUGACUCCAGCAGAUGCUCCACACCGGCAACACUGGCGUCUGAUCCGACCACAUGUCCCAUCAUCCCCGGCUGCGAGACCACCAUAGAGAUCUGCAAGGGCAGAACGGGACUGGGUCUGAGUAUAGUUGGUGGCUGCGAUACUUUACUGGGCGCUAUAAUCAUUCAUGAAGUGUACGAGGAAGGAGCUGCGUCUAAAGAUGGCCGACUGUGGGCAGGAGAUCAGAUUCUGGAGGUGAAUGGCAUAGACCUGCGUGUGGCGACUCAUGAUGAAGCCAUAAAUGUCCUCCGUCAGACUCCGCAGCGCGUGCGGCUCUCCGUCUUCAGAGACGAGGCUCAGUAUAAAGAGGAAGAGCUGUGGGACUCGCUGAGCGUCGAGCUGCAGAAGAAGCCCGGACAGGGACUCGGACUCAGCAUCAUCGGCCGAAGGAGCGACACCGGUGUGUUUGUGUCUGAUAUAGUGAAGGGUGGAGUGGUGGAGCAGGACGGUCGGCUCCUGCAGGGAGAUCAGAUCCUCUCAGUCAAUGGAGAAGAUGUUCGUUCGGCCACGCAGGAGUCUGUGGCGUCUCUGCUGAAGAGUUCUGCUGGUCCAAUCCGAUUGGAGAUCGGACGCUUUAAGGCGGGGCCUUUUCACUCGGAGCGCCGUCUGUCUCAGAGCAGUCAGGUUACACUUCAGUCCUUGGUAAAGUCCCUCUUCACUCCGACUCUGCAGCUUCGCCAGGAGAAACAGACAAAACUCACGAAUGUAAGAGCACACACACUUCAAUCUGCUCCGUCAGACUCUCUGGGCAUCAGUAUAGCUGGUGGUGUUGGCAGUCCUCUGGGUGAUGUGCCCAUCUUCAUCGCCAUGAUGAACCCCAGCGGCCUCGCAGCGCACACACACAAACUCUGGAUUGGAGACAGGAUUGUGUCCAUCUGUGGAAACUCAACAGAAGGAAUGAGUCACAAUAAAGCUGUUUCACUGCUGAAGAACACAACUGGCCUUAUACAACUACAGGUUGUUGCUGGAGAUACAUCAGUGACGGGACCUUCAGCAGAGCAGACAGCAGGACUCACAGCCAGCAGCAUCUUCCAUGAUGACCUGGGUCCUCCGCAGUGUAAGAGCAUCAGUCUGGAGCGCGGGCCUGAUGGACUGGGCUUCAGUAUUGUUGGAGGAUUCGGCAGCCCUCACGGAGACCUUCCCAUCUACAUCAAAACCGUCUUCAGCAAGGGAGCGGCAUCAGAGGACGGGCGUCUGAAGCGGGGAGAUCAGAUCAUCGCUGUGAACAGUCAGAGUCUGGAGGGAGUCACUCAUGAAGAGGCCGUUUCUAUUCUGAAGAAGACCAAAGGCACCGUCACACUCACUGUGCUCUCAUAA
ensembl:processed_transcript